UAGGGAAUCUUCCGCAAUGGACGCAAGUCUGACGGAGCAACGCCGCGUGAGUGAAGAAGGAUUUCGGUUCGUAAAACUCUGUUGUUAGGGAAGAACAGCGCAUAGAGUAACUGUUAUGCGUGUGACGGUAUCUAACCAGAAAGCCACGGCUAACUACGUGCCAGCAGCCGCGGUAAUACGUAGGUGGCAAGCGUUGUCCGGAUUUAUUGGGCGUAAAGCGAGCGCAGGCGGUCAAUUAAGUCUGAUGUGAAAGCCCCCGGCUCAACCGGGGAGGGUCAUUGGAAACUGGUUGACUUGAGUGCAGAAGAGGAGAGUGGAAUUCCAUGUGUAGCGGUGAAAUGCGUAGAUAUAUGGAGGAACACCAGUGGCGAAGGCGACUCUCUGGUCUGUAACUGACGCUGAGGCUCGAAAGCGUGGGUAGCAAACAGG
rnacentral:rRNA from 1 species